rnacentral:rRNA from 1 species
UACAGAGGGUGCGAGCGUUAAUCGGAGUUACUGGGCGUAAAGGGCGCGUAGGCGGUUUAAUAAGAUUGAUGUGAAAUCCCUGGGCUUAACCUAGGAACUGCAUCGAUGACUGUUAAGCUAGAGUAUUGUAGAGGGUAGUGGAAUUUCCGGUGUAGCGGUGAAAUGCGUAGAGAUCGGAAGGAACACCAGUGGCGAAGGCGGCUACCUGGACAAAUACUGACGCUGAGGCGCGAAAGCGUGGGGAUCAAACAGG